rnacentral:rRNA from 1 species
UACGAAGGGGGCUAGCGUUGCUCGGAAUUACUGGGCGUAAAGCGCACGUAGGCGGCUUCUUAAGUCGGAGGUGAAAUCCUGGAGCUCAACUCCAGAACUGCCUUCGAUACUGGGAAGCUCGAGUCCGGGAGAGGUGAGUGGAACUGCGAGUGUAGAGGUGAAAUUCGUAGAUAUUCGCAAGAACACCAGUGGCGAAGGCGGCUCACUGGCCCGGUACUGACGCUGAGACGCGAAAGCGUGGGGAGCGAACAGG